GUUCAUCAAAAUCCAAGGUGGAUUUAUUUAAUUUUAUUUAUUUUGAUAUUUUACAGACAACAGAGCCCUGCAACAGAGGUUAACCUCCUCCACCCUCCUGUCCCCUCUUCUGUUGUCCAGGGAAAAGAGUAAAUAUUCGAGAACCACCUGGAGAAGACCUCUGUGCGGCUUGCUCUCCAUCAUUGUCCCGAGUGCUUCUUCGGCGGUGCAGUGUGGGAUUCCAGGCUUUAACAGAGGGGAAGGCGACAGGUUUUUCCUGAGGAUCUCUCGCAAGAGGGAGGAAGUGUCUCCUUAAUCCAGAGUCCCGAGGCUUCAGGCAGAGUGACCCAAUGAGGAAGCAACCCAGGAGAGCAACACCAGAYGAGGGGAGACUGAGGGAACAGCAGCGCCGACAGACAACCCCAGAAGAACCGAGCCGGACACAACAUAAAAUGGCGAUCACGAACAGGCCUGUUCAGUCUUAAAGGUUAAUAUUGAAUUAGCAGGGGUAUUAUUGGCCAUACUUAUCUCUGUUUUUUUUUAUUUUUAUGCCUCAGAGACUCAGGGCGGUUCAUAUGAGGUUUUGUCGGCCGGUCGCAGCGAUGGGCUCUGUGUAAUGUCUGGAGUUCUGUCUUUGUAUUGUUUUUUGUGUGUCCGACCUUGCUGAAUUAUUCGUUAUUUUUUGCGACGUGUUGCCCGCCGCAGGGAGUUAAGUAUGUGCUCUCUGGCGGUUUGUGAGUAAAGUACGCGUACUUUUGAAGAAAAAGUGUUUGAGAUGCAUCUCUUGUGUUGAGUUUUCGCUGCACCUCCGUAGUUAGAGGAACGGGUCGGCCGCGAGACGUCUUUGCCACCCUGAUAGCUGCUGGUAGGCACGGUGAAUUGUUCUGCUGUUAGCAGUGUUGUGUACGGGGCCGUUCAGCCUGGUCUUUUGUUCUCUCGCCCGGAUAAAAGUACCCGGUUGCAGUAUCUUCUGAGGCCUAAAUACUGUUUAAUUCCGAUGAAAUAGGCCGGGGAGAUAACGGAAUAUUGGGUGGUGGAGGCCCUGUCUAGUUACUGGAAGUUUAAAGGGGGACAUGUCACGUUUUUUUGUUGUUUUUUUUUUUUUUUUAAUUCUGUUCAAGCAAGGGAGUACAGGCCUGUGUGUUUGUCUGUCCUUAAUGGUUGUUUGAUG